ACGUAGGCAGCAAACGUUGUUCGGAAUUACUGGGCGUAAAGAGUGUGUAGGCGGCUUCGCAAGUUGGUGUGAAAUCUCCCGGCUUAACUGGGAGGGUGCGCCGAAUACUGCAAGGCUUGAGUACUGGAGAGGAUAGCGGAAUUCCUGGUGUAGCGGUGAAAUGCGUAGAUAUCUGGAGGAACACCGGUGGCGAAGGCGGCAUCCUGGACCAACACUGACACUGAGGAGCGAAAGCCAGGGGAGCAAACGGGA
rnacentral:rRNA from 1 species